UAACUACUCCCUUUGUCUGAAAAUACUUGUUGAAGGAAUGGAUGUAACUAGAUGUAUUUUAGUUCUGGAUACAUCUAUUUUAAUUAAUUUCGGCGAUAAGUAAUUUCGGACGGAGGGAGUAUAUG
rnacentral:pre_miRNA from 1 species